rnacentral:rRNA from 1 species
GACGAACGCUGGCGGCGUGCUUAACACAUGCAAGUCGAACGGAAAGGCCCUGCUUUUGUGGGGUGCUCGAGUGGCGAACGGGUGAGUAACACGUGAGUAACCUGCCCUUGACUUUGGGAUAACUUCAGGAAACUGGGGCUAAUACCGGAUAGGAGCUCCUGCUGCAUGGUGGGGGUUGGAAAGUUUCGGCGGUUGGGGAUGGACUCGCGGCUUAUCAGCUUGUGGGUGGGGUAGUGGCUUACCAAGGCUUUGACGGGUAGCCGGCCUGAGAGGGUGACCGGCCACAUUGGGACUGAGAGACGGCCCAGACUCCUACGGGAGGCAGCAGUGGGGAAUAUUGCACAAUGGGCGGAAGCCUGAGGCAGCAACGCCGCGUGCUGGAUGACGGCCUUCGGGUUGUAAACCGCUUUCGCCUGUGACGAAGCGUGAGUGACGGUAAUGGGUAAAGAAGCACCGGCUAACUACGUG